rnacentral:rRNA from 1 species
GUCUCUUCCCGAAUUUCGUAAGAAAUUAAGAGUGAUCGGACUUUGGGGGGAGUAUGGUCGCAAGGCUGAAACUUAAAGGAAUUGACGGAAGAGCACCACAAGGUUGUGGAACUUGCGGUUUAAUUUGACUCAACACGGGAAAACUCACCAGGUCAGGACAUAAUAAGGAUUGACAGAUUAAUAGAUCUUUCAAAAUAUAUAAUAUUUAAAUUUUAUUGGAUUUAUUCAGUAAAAUUUAUUUUUUUGAUUUUAUGAUGAGUGGUGCAUGGCCGAUCUUAGUUCGUGGAAUGAUUUGUCUACUUAAUUGUGUUAACGAACGAGACCUUUAGAGAUAAAUAGUGAUUUUUGGAAGGUGUCAAAGCAAUUGAAAUGUCUUUAGAAGAAGGGCAUGUUUCCCCUUUUAAAUGUCAUCAUUUUAAUUGUAUCUUUCAUUGCUGAUCAGAAGAAAAGGGGAAAGUAUAGAUGUAAAAGUUUGUAUUUUUCUUUUUUAAUUUAUAAUACUUCUUAUUUCGACUAUUGGUGUAAAACCAAUGUAAGUUAAAGGUAAUAUCAGGUCUGUGAUGCCCUUAGAUGUUCUGGGCCACACGCGUGUUACAAUGGUAAAGAUCAAAGGGUAUUUAUUGAAUAGAAAGAGGGGAAGUAAAAUUCUUUAUUUUUUAUUUUUUUUUCGCUUAAUAGAAAUAUUUGGCUAAUCCUUUAUCGAAUCUUUUUAACCAUAUCUGGGAUAGAUGCUUGUAAUUUUUCAUCUUCAACUUGGAAUACCUAGUAAACAUAAUUCAACAAAUUAUGUUGAUUACGUCCCUGCUCUUUGUACACACCGCCCGUCGCUUCUACCGAUUGAAUUAUCCGAUGAGU